ACUUAAGGAGCUCAGAGCCAAGGCACAGCAGAAAGGGAGCUUUGGAGGUUCUGGGCUGAAGAAAAGUGGGAAGAAAUGAAGAUUUCAAACCCAGAUAGACAUGGUUUCCUUUAGUGUAUUCUGAACUAUAUUAUGAUGAUAUCUCGUGUUUAGUGUGAUGGUCGCUGAUGUCCUAUGCUUGAUGUGUUGGUCUUCAUCUUGAGCCAGAAUUACGUAAAACUUUAUAAAUUGUGUGCAUCUGUCCUCUAUCCAUGUGCCAACAAUGUAUUUGCUGGCAUUGUUGGAAACUUUGUUCUAUGUAACUCGUUUGCAAUUUGUUGAUUGCGCUUAGUAAUAAUGGUCUCCUGGGUAAUUGAUUUCCUGAGGAUGUGUUUCCCUUUUAAAUUGCAUUAAUGUGAAAAUUGCCCUCGCUG
rnacentral:lncRNA from 1 species